rnacentral:ncRNA from 1 species
CAUCAAAAACCAAGUCUCUAAGCAAUGGAUGUCUUGGCUCCUCACACGAUGAAGAACGUGGCAUAAUGUGUUAAGUAACCGGAGUUGCAAACAUCAUGACAGGUUAAUCUUUGAAUGCAAAUUGCGCUAAACUCGAUCUCGGUCGAGAAGCAUGGGUGUGACAGUACUACAUCUUUUAUAAUAAUUCUUAUUCUAAGCGAAUAAGUAAAUAAUAUAUAAGACAAACAACACGUAGUCUGCCAUACGCAGGAAGACCCGCUGAACUGAAGCAUCUCAUUAAGCGGAGGAAAAGAAACUAACUAGGAUUCCCUUAGUAAAGGCGAUCGAAAAGGGAACAGCCCAACGUCUUAAUCCCGCAAGGGAAAUGUAGUCGGUUCACCUAUUGCACUGGUCU